ACUGAUCCCUACCCUUAGGAAAGCAAUCAGCCUCUUUCCUGGUGGUCCAUUGCCACAUGCCGUUAGAGCAUCUGCAACAAGCUAAGUGAUGAGCCCAGCAUGCUGAGUGCGAGGGUCAGAGUAGGGCAACUCUGCAUCUCUGCUGCCGGCUCAGACAGGUCUCAACUGGCUGCUCCUUCCACCUUCGGCAAGAUCCGGCAAAUCAAAACAACUUACAUCAUCCCAAAGAUAGCGGAGAGGGUUGAUCAGGAGGAGAGACUGAAGGGUGGGCAAUUGUUGGUAAGAAACACGACUACCUCCACUUGUGCCCACCUCAAGGAAAGUAAUUUAGAUUAAGACUAAUCUCUUAAAUAAUUAGGCUUUAAGAGUAGGGAAAUGUACUUUUAUUACCGCAGGUUGUAAAGGAAACUCCGGCUCAAUCUAGGAGGAAAUUCUGUAUUAUUGAGGAUACUGAGUGCACAGUAAAGAUGAUUUAAAACACCAACACAGCAUCCCUCGCUUUCUGGAUCCAUUCCAGACAUGUGAGCGAUGAAGAUCGAAAUUUCAACAGCCAGCACUGCCAUCGUGUGGCAAUCCUGAGUCACUGCAACACGAUUGCAUUUAAAAAUGUCUCCUGCGUUGUCGGGCAGUUUUUCCUCAAAGCUUUACAAAUGUAGGCGUGACAUGUUUCUUUUGGGUUGCUAAAAAAAUAAUAAAAUCUUUGAAAACUGUCAAAUCAAAUGGUUAAUUCAAAUAACUCAGAAUAAAAUGUCUAUAAAUCAAUUUGUGUUCAAAAUACGAAACGUAUUUUUUACAUUACAAAGCUACCCAACUUUAAUAAAACGCAGACCUUGUAUUUUAGUUUCAUAGCAUUCCAAAACACAUUUAAAUUCCUAAGAUCUUUGUUUUACAGGAGCUGACUUGCCGUUUUGACUACCCAGCGUUUGCGUUGUAAAACUAACGUUUUACUUAAUCAUUUAAAUAAAUGAAUAUGAGACUACCCAUUGUAUUGUGUCCAAGCUUUCACUUGUGUAAUUGCUUUCUAUGCAUACAUUUAUGCAACUUGUUACCAAUUGGCUCCUUUACUAUGAGCCUCUGAAAGGGAACUUAACACUGCCAUCAUGUGGUGAUUUCAAAUUACUGCAACAAAGUUACCAUUUUCCUUUGAUUUUCCAAUAAUUUACUGCUUCAGUUAAACUUGCUCCAUUCUAAAAGUUAUAAAAUAAAACAGAAAGUAUUUGAUUAGUUAACAUAGAAUCACAUUGAAUUCAACAUUAUUCACGUUUAUUGAAACAACUUUAUUAAAACAAAUGAACAGUGGCAUAAAAUGUCCUGUUUCUGUCCAAUUCCACUGCUGGAAAACACUGGUGGGUUUUGAAAACAUGUGGUAUAUUGAUUGCGGUCAAGUU